rnacentral:rRNA from 1 species
GGAAUUGACGGGGCCGCACAAGCGGUGGAGCAUGUGGUUAAUUCGAAGCAACGCGAAGAACCUUACCAGGUCUUGACAUCCCUGACAACCCGAGAGAUCGGGCGUUCCCCUUCGGGGGACAGGGUGACAGGUGGUGCAUGGUUGUCGUCAGCUCGUGUCGUGAGAUGUUGGGUUAAGUCCCGCAACGAGCGCAACCCUCGACCUUAGUUGCCAGCAUUCAGUUGGGCACUCUAAGGUGACUGCCGGCUAAAAGUCGGAGGAAGGUGGGGAUGACGUCAAAUCAUCAUGCCCCUUAUGACCUGGGCUACACACGUGCUACAAUGGGCGGUACAAAGGGUCGCGAACCCGCGAGGGGGAGCCAAUCCCAAAAAGCCGCUCUCAGUUCGGAUUGCAGACUGCAACUCGCCUGCAUGAAGCCGGAAUCGCUAGUAAUCGCGGAUCAGCAUGCCGCGGUGAAUACGUUCCCGGGCCUU